AGUGUCAAGGGAUAGGAUUCGAACCCACGACCUUCCGCUUACCGGGCAGAUGCCAUGACCACUAAGCCACAUGACC
rnacentral:tRNA from 1 species